CAGAGCCCACAAAACUGCUGAGCGAACAUUUCUUCCUCCACUCCUUCUUCUUCUUCUUCGUCCACUCCACAAAACUCCGUGACGGUGACCGUGCUUGACCGUGAACGUGUAACUGUGAACAUUCAUCCUCCACUCCUUCUUCUUCUUUGACCAUGACCGUGCUUAGACCGUGAACGUGCGACCGUGAACGGUGAGUUUCGCAUUUCUUCCUGCAUUCCUUCUUCUUCUUUGACGACCGUUAAUGAGUAACCCUAGGUUCUUGAUGUAGGUUUCCCAUAUACUUGCUUUUUCUUAUUACAAUUAUGAUGUUGAUUUGUGUAACCCUAGGAGUGGCAAUGGUUGUCAUCUGUCCAUCGCUAUUGUGGUUUGAGCGCUGACUUAAUGCUUUACCCUUUCUCACCGAAGUUGUUGUAUCGUUAUUUUGCCUAAUUAUUCAAAAAGAGACUUAGUCACUGGGGUCAUUUAGUUUAAGGUUAAGUCUAUAAAAAGCAUUGAGCUAGGCUAAAAUGAAGAGAGGAGGUGAAAUAAAGGAUUUGUUUGAUUUCAGAAUAUAGAAAUUUUUUAGUUACGAACCUUUCCUUCAUUACCUGUUAUGGACCAAAUUGACAAUUACAAAGAUCCUUCUUUACGGAAAUUAGCAGCACAUCUAUGCAAUGAAUAUUGGAAAAGUAUUUAUGAUAUCAAUAGAAUGGACAAAAGAUUUUAGGAAAUGAUUUACUGAAAAUAAAAAAAAGAAAAGAAAAGUUAGUCUAGACAAUUAGAUUCCUUUUUUAUUCUGAAAAUUAGAUAGCCAUUUUCUCGUGGUUCUGUUUCAUGAGGUUAAAAUUAGUGAGUCGUUAAUAGUGGGAGAACAAGUAAGGUUUGUCUCUGCAAUAUAGUUUUGAAGAUAAAACAUUUAUCAAAUUACCUGAUAUACUUGUUGUAAGGCCAUUAAUAGUCAUCUGUAAUUAGCUUUGUUAUCAAUCUUUUUAAUCUUUCAUAACUAGUAAUUAAGUUUGGUACUUUUCUGUAUUAUUCACUAUUUUUUAAUUUAAAUUUGAUUAACUUCAUAAUUGGGUGAUUAUGAAAAAUAAAAAUUACGCUGUCAUACAUCACAAUUAAAUAUUUUCAUACAUUGGUUGAAUUGAUCAGUUAUAUGUUUUCAUACAUUUGUUUUCGGUUUAUCUCCACAUAUUUACGUAAUGCUACAACACAUAUCUCAAAAGCUUAAGAUUUAUAUGUUAAGUACUAAAAUGUUCUUUACGAAAGCAUGGAUAUUGUACAUAUGCAGCAGACCUUGAACGGAAAUUCAACUUUAAGAGGAUAAAAAUUCAAAUGUCAAAACCCAUUAGGGUUAACUUAGUGGUAUGAGGAGUUUAGUAGAUAGUUAGUGUGAGAUUUUAGGUCAGCCACGAUUGCUAAAAACAUUAUGUAACACAUUAUAUAUGCAAGGUAUCUAUUUGUGUUUAAGGUGAUGUGAAGGUAUUAUGGAUGGAUGGAGAUGAUGGAAGACCAAAAGCUGACUGAAGGGGAAGACCAAAGUUAGUCAGUGAAGGAUAUUGAAUUGCAGUAGGUUUCAACAAUGCUUCUGGUAUGGGGUGUAUAUUGUCCUGUUUUUGGUAUUUUGUAGCUGCUGGUUGGGAUGGUUGGAGUUCUGGUUUUAGUUGCUGUGUGGGAUGGUUUUUGGUAGCUAUGUGGGCUGGUAUUCUAGGUUUGUAUAGAAUGUGUUUGCCUUGUAGGUGAUUUUUUUUUUUAAUAUACCAACCAAAUAAUAGAAAAUAUAUAUUAACUAGUUCAUUCAGAUACCGAAAAUAUGUUUGAUCAUUUGGAAAGGGACAGAGAUGGUGAAACAUUGGAGCUUGAAGCAGGAGGUAUGAGAAAGGGCACCUGCCACAACUUGAACGUCAACCCUAGUGCUGGUUGCCGCUGCCGCUGCGGUGGUCGAUGGUAGAUCGCCCACUGAGUUGGUGGAGUCUCGAGUUAUGACAGGAGCUUUUUAGUGUGCUUAAUUUUUUAUACAUGACAUGUGGUAAUUUUAAUAUAAAUAAGUAUGUUGUUAUAAGUUGAAGUAUAUAAACUAGAAAAAGGCAUGCAUGUAAUAUAUGGGAGUUAAUAUAAGAUAUUUAUUAUUGUAUAAAUUAAUGAUUGGAUGGAGAAUGGUUGGGAUGUGAGUUUGAGAGGGGAGGGUAUAUGAUAGUAUGUCCACAUGGAUCAAAAUAGAUUACACAAAUAGUCACCUAUCUAGAAGCUGCUGUUCAACUUGGCAGGGAGCUGGUAACGUCCCUUUUUUUUUCUUCCACCUAUUUCUUCCAUGACAAUAUUCGAAUCCUUUCUGUUCAAAACUUGGUCUAGCAAAAGGCGAAUUGAAAUCUAGAAUUGGUGGAUGAUUGAAUCUGAAUCCCACGGGAUUUUUGGUUUUGAUAUCAUAUAGAUUAGUUGGAUUCAAUGAACUUUUGUUUUUCUUUUCUUUUUUUCUCUUGCCUCUUUUUGUCUCUGCAGCCGCAUUGCUACAUGAACCUUUCUUUUGUUCCAUUUACUAACCUUUUCUUCUAAAAGUUUUGUACAAAUUUUAAUGAUUCAUUUUGGUUUCUCACUCUGGAGCUCCACAUUUCUCCCUUUCAUCACGCAUCUCUCUUCCUCCUCUUCCUAUUUUCUUUUGUUUUUAUGUAAAAAAUAAUAAACAAGCUCUGGAGUGGCAACUCGUGCUUAUCAUUACCAGUUAUUUCAAAAUUUAGCUAUGAUCAACCAAAUGUAACCCUUCUAUUUCAAUUUUCUUAGUUCUUAUUGUCUUACGUUUGUGUCUGUUUUGUUUUUCUUGCACGUGCAGGCCUCUGUUUAGCUUUAUUUGUCCAUUGUAAGUAGUUGCUAUCAGUACUCGUAAAUAUGAUGAUGUAUGUGUUCCUAGUUUUUUUUUCAGGUUUGUUUCUAUUCGAGCAAUGGAGAGUGACUCCCGUUCCAGGAACCAGCGAUGCCUUGCUUUUUGGGUUCUGUUUUCCUUGUCAAUGAUCAUGGAAAGGGGACUUUCAGUGUUAUUGAACUGAUACUUUUUUCUGCUGAGAAUUUAAUUAAUAAUUUGAGAAAAUCUAAAGUGUAUUUAGUUUACAUUAAUCAUUAUAUUGUCAUUCCAUAGUUUCCUCUUUGAGGCUUUAAACUCCAAC
rnacentral:lncRNA from 1 species